AGUGAACGCUGGCGGUAGGCCUAACACAUGCAAGUCGAACGGCAGCACAGUAAGAGCUUGCUCUUACGGGUGGCGAGUGGCGGACGGGUGAGGAAUACAUCGGAAUCUACUUUUUCGUGGGGGAUAACGUAGGGAAACUUACGCUAAUACCGCAUACGACCUACGGGUGAAAGCAGGGGAUCUUCGGACCUUGCGCGAUUGAAUGAGCCGAUGUCGGAUUAGCUAGUUGGCGGGGUAAAGGCCCACCAAGGCGACGAUCCGUAGCUGGUCUGAGAGGAUGAUCGGCCACACUGGAACUGAGACACGGUCCAGACUCCUACGGGAGGCAGCAGUCGGGAAUAUUGGACAAUGGGCGCAAGCCUGAUCCAGCCAUACCGCGUGGGUGAAGAAGGCCUUCGGGUUGUAAAGCCCUUUUGUUGGGAAAGAAAAGCAGCAGGUUAAUACCCCGCUGUUCUGACGGUACCCAAAGAAUAAGCACCGGCUAACUUCGUG
rnacentral:rRNA from 1 species